rnacentral:tRNA from 3 species
UCCUUCGUAGCUCAAUUGGCAGAGCAGCCGGCUGUUAACCGGCAGGUUACUGGUUCGAGUCCAGUCGGAGGAG